rnacentral:rRNA from 1 species
AGCGAACGCUGGCGGCAGGCCUAACACAUGCAAGUCGAACGAACUCUUCGGAGUUAGUGGCGGACGGGUGAGUAACACGUGGGAACGUGCCUUUUGGUUCGGAAUAACUCAGGGAAACUUGUGCUAAUACCGAAUGUGCCCUUCGGGGGAAAGAUUUAUCGCCAUUAGAGCGGCCCGCGUCUGAUUAGCUGGUUGGUGAGGUAACGGCUCACCAAGGCGACGAUCAGUAGCUGGUCUGAGAGAAUGACCAGCCCACCGGGGCCUGGGACCCGCCCGGAACCCUGCGGGAAGGACGCAGUGGGGAUCCUGCGGAAAGGGGGGAAUGCUGACGGCGGCCAGGCGGGGUAAUUAUGAAAGUCUUAAGGAUGGAAAAUUCUUUCACCGGGGACGAUAAUGACGGUACCCGGAGAAGAAGCCCCGGCUAACUUCGUG